UUUGUAAUAAUGCAGUAUUGCUUUGCAGGUGUUGGAGUUGGAUUUAUUUCUGCUUUGUUAUCCUUUUUUUGUUGGGGCUUUAUUGAUUAAAUUUGUUGUACUGACUUUUAUCUAUUACAAUGUUUUGUGAAACCUUAAUUCCCUAAACCUUUUCAAGUAUGCCGGAUUGGAUAUUGACAAGUGAGUACUGCAUAUGUAUUAUUUAUUCUAAGGCCAAAAAUCCAUCGUGCAUAAGAAGAUCUUGAUUAAAACAUUUUGCUGUGAUUCUCUGUUCAGUCUCCAGAACUUAGAGUGCUGUCUCUUUGUUCUUUUUCCAUAUUUCUCGUAAGUAGAUAGUGAGGGAAAUUGAGGAUUGGACUAAGAAAUCCUGGAGGAUAGAUAGCAGUAAGUUACAAACUGUUGAAAUGAAGAUGCAGAAAAGUUCCAGAUCUGUCAAAGAGAAUGAACUUGCACAGCAGGCUAUGUACUCCCAAGAAAAAGAAAGUCUCUUAGAGCUGGUAGAAAAGGGAAAAAUUGCAGCUAGAACUGAGAAGAGCAGACAAAUUGCGAGUAUCGAGGGUUGCAGCCGACGAGAUGAAAAUCCGGCUGUUGGAGCACGUAAAAAGUGCGACCGGGAAUUGUUCUUGCUUAAUUUUCAGGACAUGUAGAAUACUUGUGUAGACAAAAAACGGUCUGAUUCUUCCAUUUAUUUAUCGUACUUAAAUGGCUACUUAAGUUAGCAAUGCUAUUUUUAUUUUUUAAUUAUGCCAAUGUGAAGUAUUCCUUGUAGUAGUUGCGCAAUUUUCUGGUGUAUCAAACCUUGAUUCAAUUAUUAUAUCAUUGUUAUAUACAAAUAUCAACUACGAAAAUUGAGUCACAACAACACUACAAGAUUCAUCGAUUCAAUUAUCAACUACAAAAAUUGAGUUCUGCCGUGCAUCUAAUUUUUUAAUCUCCUGCUUUUACUGAUUCCUGNNNNNNNNNNNNNNNNNNNNNNNNNNNNNNNNNNNNNNNNNNNNNNNNNNNNNNNNNNNNNNNNNNNNNNNNNNNNNNNNNNNNNNNNNNNNNNNNNNNNUUUUUUUUUCUUAAUGGUUGGUGUGCUUAUAUGGUGUUUGUAGUUAGUUCCCAUCUGAUGCAUUGGUUUUUGGGGAAUCUGUUUUGAACGAUGCAGUAAGUCUUUGUUGAUAGCUAUGAUGCCCAAUUUUCUUGCGAGUGAAAUUUCUGUUUUAUCCGGAUAAACAUUUAAUGUGUGAGAAUUGAUCUUUUUGUAUGUUUCACAAAUGGUAGAUGGCGAUAUCCUUGUACCGGUAUGUAAAAUUUGCAUUUGUCAUAACCAGUUAGAUCAUUAUGUGGGUUAGGAUUUGGGAUUGAAGUAAGCUGUUCUUGAUAUGCAGGACAAUGUCCUUAGUGAGAAGUCAUGCUUCAUCUGGGCAAAAUUUUUUUCUGGUGAUUGUCAGGUUUCUUGAGACCUUUGUUGGCUCAAUGUCUGCAGGUAGUUUUUUCAAUCUAUCUUGCAGUUUUGCCAAAAAUUAUACUUUCCGUUAUAAUUUAUAUCAUCUAUAGUUUUGGGUGUUCUGCUUUAUAUUCACUGUGUAUUUUGCUUAUUUAUCUUGUUCUGGCCUUUUUUCAUGCUCUGGUUAGUUAUUGUCGUGUAAGACAAACAGUUGUGGUAGAGUGAGAGCUAGGGCUUAUUCCUGCUUAGGAGCCAUAUAUAUAGAUCCUAUAUCAAUAAUGCAGUAUUGCUAUAUUAAUCCCUUUUUUCAUGUCAUUUGUAAUAAUGCAGUAUUGCUUUGCAGGUGUUGGAGUUGGAUUUAUUUCUGCUUUGUUAUCCUUUUUUUGUUGGGGCUUUAUUGAUUAAAUUUGUUGUACUGACUUUUAUCUAUUACAAUGUUUUGUGAAACCUUAAUUCCCUAAACCUUUUCAAGUAUGCCGGAUUGGAUAUUGACAAGUGAGUACUGCAUAUGUAUUAUUUAUUCUAAGGCCAAAAAUCCAUCGUGCAUAAGAAGAUCUUGAUUAAAACAUUUUGCUGUGAUUCUCUGUUCAGUCUCCAGAACUUAGAGUGCU
rnacentral:lncRNA from 1 species